rnacentral:misc_RNA from 1 species
ACAAACUUGGUCAUUUAGAGGAAGUAAAAGUCGUAACAAGGUUUCCGUAGGUGAACCUGCGGAAGGAUCAUUAAAGAUUCGGGAACUCGCGUCCCGCCUCUCUGGCUGUGCGUCUCGCACGCCAGAAAAAACCUCACACCUGUGCGCGUCUUCGGUUGCGGCCUUUGCGGGUCGCCUCCGCCUCUUAUGUUACAAGUGUAGUCUCGAGUGUAAUAAAAUUUGUUAAUCUUAACAACUUUCAACAACGGAUCUCUUGGCUCUCGCAUCGAUGAAGAACGCAGC